AGAGUUUGAUCCUGGCUCAGGACGAACGCUGGCGGCGUGCCUAAUACAUGCAAGUAGAACGCACAGGAUGCACCGUAGUUUACUACACCGUAUUCUGUGAGUUGCGAACGGGUGAGUAACGCGUAGGUAACCUGCCUGGUAGCGGGGGAUAACUAUUGGAAACGAUAGCUAAUACCGCAUAAGAACAUUUACUGCAUGGUAGAUGUUUAAAAGGUGCAAAAGCAUCACUACCAGAUGGACCUGCGUUGUAUUAGCUAGUUGGUGAGGUAACGGCUCACCAAGGCAACGAUACAUAGCCGACCUGAGAGGGUGAUCGGCCACACUGGGACUGAGACACGGCCCAGACUCCUACGGGAGGCAGCAGUAGGGAAUCUUCGGCAAUGGGGGGAACCCUGACCGAGCAACGCCGCGUGAGUGAAGAAGGUUUUCGGAUCGUAAAGCUCUGUUGUUAAGGAAGAACGUGUGUGAGAGUGGAAAGUUCACACAGUGACGGUACUUAACCAGAAAGGGACGGCUAACUACGUGCCAGCAGCCGCGGUAAUACGUAGGUCCCGAGCGUUGUCCGGAUUUAUUGGGCGUAAAGCGAGCGCAGGCGGUUAGAUAAGUCUGAAGUGAAAGGCAGUGGCUCAACCAUUGUAGGCUUUGGAAACUGUUUAACUUGAGUGCAGAAGGGGAGAGUGGAAUUCCAUGUGUAGCGGUGAAAUGCGUAGAUAUAUGGAGGAACACCGGUGGCGAAAGCGGCUCUCUGGUCUGUAACUGACGCUGAGGCUCGAAAGCGUGGGGAGCGAACAGGAUUAGAUACCCUGGUAGUCCACGCCGUAAACGAUGAGUGCUAGUGUUAGGUCCUUUCCGGGACUUAGUGCCGCAGCUAACGCAUUGAGCACUCCGCCUGGGGAGUACGACCGCAAGGUUGAAACUCAAAGGG
rnacentral:rRNA from 1 species